UAGAUGGUUGCCUUUCUCAUGCAGAUUCUUUGUCCGCCCUUUGCUUUCUCUAGGAUGAAUAUGAUGGGGUCCUGAGAGAGGAGAAUGUGGCCGACGCACUCGAUGGAUUGGGGUGGUCAGGCAGAGGCACGGAGCAGGUCUACCGCAACCUAAACCUAUCCCACUGUGAGUUGAUUGACGUCAGCAUUCUGAGUGGCUAUGUUCACCUGCAGAAGUUGAAUCUUUCAGGAAACAGAAUCGAAGAUUUGUCUUGUGUGAGCUGCAUGCCGUAUCUUCUAGAACUGAAUGCUUCUCAAAACAGGCUGACCACCUUCUUCAAUUUCAAACCACCCCAAAAUCUCAAGNNNNNNNNNACAUGUUUAAAAUAAAUUACAUUUAAAGGAGCUAAUUAUAUUGGCUUCUAUUAUAUUGUGUUCCUUAUUGUCUUUGCUCACUGGCUGUUGACAAUGGAUUCAUUCAUUUAUUUUUUUUUUUAUUUAAUCAAAUAGAUUAAGGAGCUGAGUGAAAUAGAAUACAUUGAAAAUCUUCCUAUCCUUCGAGUUCUCAAUCUACUAAGGAAUCCAAUUCAGACCAAACCCGAGUACUGGUUCUUCGUGAUAUUUAUGCUGCUGCGACUGACAGAGCUAGAUCAGCAGAAGAUUAAGGUGGAGGAAAAGGUUUAUGCAGUGAAUAAGUAUGACCCUCCCCCUGAAGUGGUUGCUGCCCAAGAUCACAUGACACAUGUCGUCAACAGCAUGUCGCAGCCACAGAGGAUCUUCGAC
rnacentral:lncRNA from 1 species